AUUGAACGCUGGCGGCAUGCUUUACACAUGCAAGUCGAACGGUAACAGGCCUUCGGCUGCUGACGACUGGCGACCGGGUGCGUACUGCAGCGGAACGUGCCCAGAGGUGGGGGUUCACGCAGCGAAAGCUGUGCUAAUACCCCAUGUUAUCUGAUGAUGACUACGGGUGACCAAGCAGCAAUUUUUGGCCUCGCGCCUCUGGAUCGGCCGAUGUCGGAUUAGGUAGUUGGUGGGGUAAAGGCCUACCAAGCCGACGAUCUGUAGCUGGUCUGAGAGGACGACCAGCCACACUGGGACUGAGACACGGCCCAGACUCCUACGGGAGGCAGAAGUGGGGAAUUUGGGACAAUGGGGGCAAGCCUGAUCCAGCAAUGCGGCGGGGGGGAAGAAGGCCUUCGGGUUGUAAACCGCUUUUGUACGGAACGAAAAGGCUCUGGCUAAUACCUGGGGCUGAUGACGGUACCGAAAGAAUAAGAACCGGCUAACUACGUG
rnacentral:rRNA from 1 species